rnacentral:lncRNA from 1 species
CUUUGGUUCUUUAGUUGAACAUUCCACAGUUGAACUAGAACAGUCACAAACAGUGAAAGAAGACAUGCACCCAACACCAGAGCUGAAGACACCUCCGAAAGGAGGGGG